GGUGUGGACUGAGAACGCCCCACAAAUUGGAAGGCAUGAAGUUUGGAAACUGCAAUGGGUGGUUCCAUUGUUUUCCUGCAUUUUCUACAAAAUUCAAUAUUAUGCUAAUUUCAUUGCCGAUCCCAAGCCUGGGUAAAGGAGGAGGGAGAAAGGCUUGAGUGUCGAAAACUCAAUAGCAGAGGAAGCUGGUGAAGAGAAGGAUAGAUUUGGUUUAUGGGGGAGGGAGUGUGGGAUUGAUGGGUUUGAUCUCCCAAGCUGUUUAUGAUGGAGGCUGCCAUGUUCUUGGGGUUAUUCCAACAGCUCUUAUGCCUCUUGAGGUAUGUAAAACAUUCAUCUUGAGCUUUUUCCCUCUAUUCAUAGCUCCUCUACAGCAUGUCUUCAAUUACUAUUUUUUCAUUUCUUACUAGGACUUUCUUGGUUAGAUAAGGAAUUUGGUUGCUGGGUUUUGGUCUUCAGACUACUAAAUCUCACAAACUUAUAAGUUAGAAUUGUAUAGAAUAAAUUCUGUUGAUUUUUGUAAAUGGCACGUAACUUGCUUUUGACAUCUGUUCUAAUAUUCUUUAAAAAGAGAUUUGUCCCAUGGGCAUCUGUUCUACUAACCGACUUUCUAAUGUGCAUGUACAUGGAACUCUUGUGGCAUACUGCAACUAUUUGAAAUCAUAGCAACUUGCUGAAUCAACAUUUGGUUUGUAGUCUGUUGACUGUCCCCUGCACUGAGCAUGAUUUAUAUCAUUCCAUUGUUUCUUUUAGAAUUAACAACUCUUUGAUUGAUUAUCUCUUAGAGAUGCAUUUACCAAUCUCUUAGAGUUGCAUUUACUAGCUUCGGUGAUGUGGUUGAAGGUGAGUUGGAUAAUCUAUAUUAGUUCUUUUGAAGCAUUUUGUGGAUAUGAAAUAAAUUAAGAGUGUAUGAUCCUCUCAUCUUGAUGAUCAAGGUUUGCCUGUUGGUCAGUGAUCCAAACCCUCGAUAUGUUAAGCCCCACUGCAAACAUAGCCUUGUCCCAGCAAUUUGGGUCAGACUGAUGAUUGCUUGGAAGAAAUUUAGUGACUGGCAAGUUUUUUGAGAGAUGGUUAAACCUGUAAUCGUGUUGUGUGACAUUUUCCUUCUAUUCAUCAAGUGAGCACUAUGGUUUAGUACAACUCUAACAUGAUAUGCAAAAUGGUUGUUUUGAGCUACAAUUAUCUGUUAAAGUUUGGUGUCCUUGGAUUUGAGUUGGAUUAUUCAAUGGAAAAUCCAAAUUCAUUGGUUGUGUGGGAAGCUUAGUUUGGAGAUUUUUCAAAUGGUGCUCAAGUGAUGUUUGAUCAGUUUUUGAGUAGUGGAGAGUCAAAGUGGCCAUGCCAAACUGGGCUUCUUGUGUUACUUCCUUAUGGUUAUGAUGGUCAGGGCCCUGAAUAUUCAAGUGC